GUCAGGUGUGGUGGCGAACUCCUGUAAUCCCAGGAACUUGGGAGGCUAAGGCAGGAGGACUACAAGUUCAAGGCCAGCCUCGGCAACUUAGGCUCUAAGCAACUUGGUGAGAUCUUGUCUUAA
rnacentral:sRNA from 1 species